CGAUCAGUAGCUGGUCUGAGAGGAUGAUCAGCCACAUUGGGACUGAGACACGGCCCAAACUCCUACGGGAGGCAGCAGUGGGGAAUAUUGGACAAUGGGGGAAACCCUGAUCCAGCAAUGCCGCGUGUGUGAAGAAGGUCUUCGGAUUGUAAAGCACUUUUGGCAGGGACGAUGAUGACGGUACCUGCAGAAUAAGCCCCGGCUAACUUCGUGCCAGCAGCCGCGGUAAUACGAAGGGGGCUAGCGUUGCUCGGAAUGACUGGGCGUAAAGGGCGCGUAGGCGGCGCGUACAGUCAGAAGUGAAAUUCCUGGGCUCAACCUGGGGACUGCUUUUGAUACGUGCGUGCUUGAGUGAGGAAGAGGGUUGUGGAAUUUCCAGUGUAGAGGUGAAAUUCGUAGAUAUUGGAAAGAACACCGGUGGCGAAGGCGGCAACCUGGUCCUUUACUGACGCUGAGGCGCGAAAGCGUGGGGAGCAAACAGGAUUAGAUACCCUGGUAGUCCACGCUGUAAACGAUGUGUGCUGGAUGUUGGGAAACUUAGUUUUUCAGUGUCGUAGCUAACGCGAUAAGCACACCGUCUGGGGAGUACGGGCGCAAGGUUGAAACUCAAGGGAUUGACGGGGGCCCGCACAGCGGUGGAGCAUGUGGUUA
rnacentral:rRNA from 1 species